rfam:Arabis alpina cultivar Pajares chromosome 8, whole genome shotgun sequence.
CGUUGGAGGCAGCGGUUCAUCGAUCUCUUCCUGGUAAAAUUUUGUUUAAAAAAAAACAUGAACAGAUCGAUAAACCUCUGCAUCCAGC